CCUACGGGAGGCAGCAGUGAGGAAUAUUGGUCAAUGGGCGCAAGCCUGAACCAGCCAAGUCGCGUGAGGGAUGACGGUCCUAUGGAUUGUAAACCUCUUUUGUCGGGGAGCAAGGCCCGCCACGUGUGGCGGGAAGGAGAGUACCCGAAGAAAAGGCAUCGGCUAACUCCGUGCCAGCAGCCGCGGUAAUACGGAGGAUGCGAGCGUUAUCCGGAUUUAUUGGUUUUAAAGGGUGCGGAGGCGGAAGGUUAAGUCAGCGGUAACAUGUCGGGGCUCAACACCGGCCUGCCGUUGAAACUGGUCGUCUUGAGUGAGCGAGAAGUAUGCGGAAUGCGUGGUGUAGCGGUGAAAUGCAUAGAUAUCACGCAGAACUCCGAUUGCGAAGGCAGCAUACCGGCCCUCAACUGACGCUGAGGCACGAGAGCGUGGGGAUCGAACAGGAUUAGAUACCCGGGUAGUC
rnacentral:rRNA from 1 species